rnacentral:tRNA from 1 species
GGCUAUAGCUCAGUUGGUAGAGUGCUGGAUUGUGAUUCCAGUGGUCAUGGGUUCAAGUCCCAUUAGCCACCCCAAAA